ensembl:lncRNA
GGGUGCUGCGAAAUGAAGGCUUGAGAGGAUGGUGUAUUAUUCCCUGCCCCGUGCCCGACACUUUCUGGAAAGCAGCAGAACAGUCACAGGUGGAGGGGAGCACACCUCACUGGCACGCAGAGCACAAACUGGCAGCACCCCAUCUGCUGAGGAUGCCAGUAAGGUGCCGCCUGGACAUCCACACAGCUCUGGGGUCGUGGUCGUUAUUUACAAAAACAAAAUAAAUGGAAGGAAGAUGGGCAAAAUCUGCUGUUGCUGGGGAGGCUGUUUCAAAAAGAGCUGGCACGUGUUCCCUACCGAAUCCAGUCCAAGGAUUGUUUGUGUCUUUAGAAAGCAAGUGCCAUCGCUGCUUGAUGCAAUGAGCUGAGCUCUGGGAACCAGCACUCGUUAGCACCAGUUUCACUGAAAAAGACAGAAAGAAAGAAGAAGAACAACUAGGAUGAGAGAGAUUUUCCUCCAAAAAAAAAAAAAAAAAAGUACUUUUAAAAGAAGCCCCAUUAUGUAAAAGCACAGCAUUGUCUCAGUGUCUCUAUCCAGAGCUUCAUGCACAACUCAUUUGGCAUGGGAAGGGGAAGAAAGAACCCCUCCUCCAAACAUAGUCCGUGGAACAUAAACAUCCCAUACAUCCCAUAACACAGGAGCCAUAGAGCUCUCCUCUGCUUUCAAAUGCAAGUUUGUAACUUUCAGCCAAUUUCUACUCUUUGCUUUCUCAGAUGAUUUUAAGAUUUAAACCUUGGGAGUAUCUAAAAUAACAAAGGCCUCGAAGCUCUCAACGUGGCAAUGAAAUCUUCAUCUUGAACUCAUGGCAGAGAUGUUCCAGGCCGACUCUUAUGAAUCAUGAAAAUCUUAAUCUGAACAUCAGAAAGGAGAGGCACCUCCUCUGUUACUCUUCUUUAUUCCUUUAUGCUUUUCCCACUUCAUUUUAUUUAAAUAGGGUUACAUUCAUAGUAAUAUAGUCAUGGUGGUGGCUGUUGUUUUCAUUGUUGCUAUUAUUAUUAUUAUUGUUGUUAUUAUUAUUUUAACUCAG